rnacentral:rRNA from 1 species
AGUGAACGCUGGCGGUAGGCCUAACACAUGCAAGUCGAACGGCAGCACAGUAAGAGCUUGCUCUUACGGGUGGCGAGUGGCGGACGGGUGAGGAAUACAUCGGAAUCUACUUUUUCGUGGGGGAUAACGUAGGGAAACUUACGCUAAUACCGCAUACGACCUACGGGUGAAAGCAUGGGAUCUUCGGACCUUGCGCGAUUGAAUGAGCCGAUGUCGGAUUAGCUAGUUGGCGGGGUAAAGGCCCACCAAGGCGACGAUCCGUAGCUGGUCUGAGAGGAUGGUCAGCCACACUGGAACUGAGACACGGUCCAGACUCCUACGGGAGGCAGCAGUGGGGAAUAUUGGGCAAAGGGCGCAAGCCUGAUCCAGCCAUACCGCGUGGGUGAAGAAGGCCUUCGGGUUGUAAAGCCCUUUUGUUGGGAAAGAAAAGCAGCAGGUUAAUACCCCGCUGUUCUGACGGUACCCAAAGAAUAAGCACCGGCUAACUUCGUG